GGAGGGAUGGCAGAGCGGUUUAAUGCGGCGGUCUCGAAAACCGUUGUGCCAGUGACGGCACCGGGGGUUCGAAUCCCCCUCUCUCCG
rnacentral:tRNA from 1 species